rnacentral:tRNA from 1 species
GCGGGCAUGGCAUAGCGGGCGUGCGGGAGCCUUCCAAGCUCCAGAGCCGGGUUCGACUCCUGGUGUCCGCUCCA